AGUGAACGCUGGCGGUAGGCCUAACACAUGCAAGUCGAACGGCAGCACAGUAAGAGCUUGCUCUUACGGGUGGCGAGUGGCGGACGGGUGAGGAAUACAUCGGAAUCUACUUUUUCGUGGGGGAUAACGUAGGGAAACUUACGCUAAUACCGCAUACGACCUACGGGUGAAAGCAGGGGAUCUUCGGACCUUGCGCGAUUGAAUGAGCCGAUGUCGGAUUAGCUAGUUGGCGGGGUAAAGGCCCACCAAGGCGACGGUCCGUAGCUGGUCUGAGAGGAUGAUCAGCCACACUGGAACUGAGACACGGUCCAGGCUCCUACGGGAGGCAGCAGUGGGGAAUAUUGGACAAUGGGCGCAAGCCUGAUCCAGCCAUACCGCGUGGGUGAAGAAGGCCUUCGGGUUGUAAAGCCCUUUUGUUGGGAAAGAAAAGCAGCAGGUUAAUACCCCGCUGUUCUGACGGUACCCAAAGAAUAAGCACCGGCUAACUUCGUG
rnacentral:rRNA from 1 species